CCGGGGAGACGGUGCAGCCUGGGACCCGGCGGGAGUGGACGCGCUGCCCGGUCCGCCCUCCGGCCCGGAGGGAGCAGCUUGCAGGAGUUUUUCCAAUCGAAAGGACAGUUCUUGACUCAAGGGAACGUCAGAAAAUUAUAGAUGAGCUCUAUGACAGCCAUUUUGAUGCUUUCCUAACUGAACUUCCACCUUCCACAUUGUAUAAAUUCUGCUGCUCAAUAACUCUUCAUGACACUUAGUGGCAUUACCAUCUCCAAACCUACAUCCUGAGGGUUUACAAUGAAUAGAAAAUUAACUGGUCCAACCACAUUGAUACUAUGAGAGCAUAUCUGAAACUGUCGUGUGGGAUUCACCUCCCGACUCUGCAUACAUCUUGCAUUAUCUACAAGGCAUAACUCAGAGGGUGAUGCCUGGAUGAACGCAGCUCCUUCAACAUACAAGAAGCUCAGCACCAUUGUGGAGAAAGCAGCCUGCCUGAUUAGUAUCCCAUCUGUGACCUUACUCUUCUACCACCCAUGCAAGAUGGACUGCAGCAACUCACCGUGAUUUGUUCAGCAACAUCUCCCGAUCCUGAGACCUCCUCUAGGGCAAGUGAAUGAGAACACCACCUUCCACACAGAGCACAGGUCAUCUUGACCCUCCCAGUUCCUGGAGGAGCUGCUCCUGUAUCUUCUACCUGAUGGAAGAGGAGAGAAGAGAGAAUGACCUGGGUGGCUGGGGUCUACAGUAGAUGCUAUCUCGCUGGCUCUCCACUCUGCUCUGGACCAUCUGGACAAACUGAACAAGUACUUCAGGCUGUUGUUCAUUGACUACUGCUCAGCAUUCAACACCAUCAUUCCCUCAAAGCUUAUUAUCAAGCUCCAAGACCUGGGCCUCUGUACCUUCUUCUGCAAUUGGAUUCUUAACUUCCUCACUAGGAGACCACAAUCAGUGUGGAUCAGAAACCUCAUCUCCUCCUUGCUGAUCAUCAACACAGGCUCACCUCAAGGCUACGUGCUUAGCCCCCUGCUCUACUCUCUCUAUACCUACGACUGUGUGGCUAAGCAUAGCUCCAACACCAUCUACAAAUUCGACAAUGACGCCACUGUUGUUGGCAGAAUUACGGAUGGUGACGAGUGGCAUACAGGAGUGAGAUAGGUCAGCUGGUUGAGUGUCGUGGCAACAACCUUGUGCUCAACAUCAACAAAACCAGGGAAUUGAUUGUGGACUUUAGGAAGGGGAAGUCAGGCGGACACAUACAAGUCCUCAUUGAAGGGCCUGUGGUGGAAAGGGUGAGCAGUUUCGAGUUCCUGGGUGUCAACGUCUUGGAGGAUCUAUCGUGGGCCCAGCACACAGAUGCAGCAAUGAAGAAGGCGCGCCAGCGUCUGUACUUUAUUAGAAGUUUAAGGAGAUUCAGCAUGUCAUUAAAUACUCUGACAAACUUCUACAGAUGUACAAUGGAAAAUAUUCUGAUUGGAUGCAUCACAGCCUGGUGUGGAAACUCCAAAGCACAGGAACGCAAGGGGCUACUGAGAGUAGUGGACUCAGCCAGUUCCACCUCAGGUACAGCUCUCCCCACCAUCGAGGACAUCUACAAGAGGCGAUGUGUCAGGAAGGUGACAUCCAUCAUUGAGGACCCCCACCAUCUGGGCCAUGCCCACUUCUCGAUACUGCCAUCAGUCAGGAGCCUGAAGACCCACACCUCAAGGUCCAACCACAGCUUCUUCCCCACUGCCGUUUGGUCCUUGAACUGAACUGGAAAACCCUAACACGAUCUCAGACUAUAUUUUUUUCCUCAACUUGGACUAAUGUCAUUAUGUUUAGUUUAUUUUGUCAUGCAAGUUAUAUAUAAUUUAUUUUCAUUUAAGUCUAUGUUAACUUAUGUUUGUCAUAUUUGUAAUAUA